rnacentral:tRNA from 1 species
GCCUUCGUGGUGCAGUGUAACACGCUCGGCGCGUAUUCGAGAGGUCCAUGGUUCGAGUCCCGGCGAGGGCA